rnacentral:lncRNA from 1 species
AAACAUUCAUACUUAAGCAACGAACGCUUAAAGAUAAAGCUCUUCGAAUAAGUACGGUUUUCAAUAUCUCAAGGCGAGACCACUAAUAUCUCAACCAUGUACUUUAUGGAAUAUAUUUUCAUACCCAUGUCUCGAUAUGCAUUAAACAUACAUACUUGGACAAAAACAAAGAGUCGGAGCAAAUAGGUAUAUAAUUAUGUCUCUUUUAAGAGACGGAAGAGCAAUGUUCACCUGUAUUCAUCUACGAAAAAAUAGUUUGGUAAUGAAAACUUAAUGCUAACGAGUGUAUGAAAACUACUUCCAUUCAAGAAUUCAUAUCAACCCUGCAGUGUGCCAGCCAGCAGCUAGCUAAGCUCAAAUAUAUACAUAUAAAUGUGAGACAGUGACUGCAAUUAAACGGAGGAAGGGAGAGGACAAUGUCG